AGGGCGCCCAGUGGCCCCCGCGGGCGGGCACCAUGAACGACUUCAGCUACCUGCACACCGACUGCCUGGAGCUCUCCAUCUACCUGGGCUGCGACAAGUUCCCGCACGGCAGCGAGCUGCGGCGCGAGUGGGAGGACAACAAGGAGGCUCUGCUCACCUUCAUGGAGCAGGUGCACCGGGGCAUCAAGGGGCUGGGGACGGACCAGCAGGG